AGUGAACGCUGGCGGUAGGCCUAACACAUGCAAGUCGAACGGCAGCACAGUAAGAGCUUGCUCUUACGGGUGGCGAGUGGCGGGCGGGUGAGGAAUACAGCGGAAUCUACUUUUUCGUGGGGGAUAACGUAGGGAAAGUUACGCUAAUACCGCAUACGACCUACGGGUGAAAGCAGGGGAUCUUCGGACCUUGCGCGAUUGAAUGAGCCGAUGUCGGAUUAGCUAGUUGGGGGGGUAAAGGCCCACCAAGGCCACGAACCCUAGCCUGUUUUAGGGGAUGACCCGGCCCACUUGAACCUAGGCCCCGUCCAGGCCCCCUCCGGAGGCAGCCGUUGGGAAUUUUUGACAAUUGGGGGAAGCCUGAUCCAGCCAUACCGCGUGUGUGAAGAAGGCCUUCGGGUUGUAAAGCCCUUUUGUUGGGAAAGAAAAGCAGCAGGUUAAUACCCCGCUGUUCUGACGUUACCCAAAGAAGAAGCACCGGCUAACUUCGUG
rnacentral:rRNA from 1 species